rnacentral:rRNA from 1 species
UACGGAGGGUGCAAGCGUUAUCCGGAUUCACUGGGGUUAAAGGGUGUGUAGGCGGGCUGUUAAGUCAGUGGUGAAAUCUCCGGGCUCAACCCGGAAACUGCCAUUGAUACUAUCAGUCUUGAAUCUUGUUGAGGUGGGCGGAAUAUAUCAUGUAGCGGUGAAAUGCUUAGAUAUGAUAUAGAACACCGAUUGCGAAGGCAGCUCACUAAGCAAGUAUUGACGCUGAGGCACGAAAGCGUGGGGAUCAAACAGG